rnacentral:rRNA from 1 species
UACGGGGGGGGCAAGCGUUGUUCGGAAUUACUGGGCGUAAAGGGCUCGUAGGCGGCCAACUAAGUCGGACGUGAAAUCCCUCGGCUCAACCGGGGAACUGCGUCCGAUACUGGAUGGCUUGAAUCCGGGAGAGGGAUGCGGAAUUCCAGGUGUAGCGGUGAAAUGCGUAGAUAUCUGGAGGAACACCGGUGGCGAAGGCGACAUCCUGGACCGGUAUUGACGCUGAGGCGCGAAAGCCAGGGGAGCAAACGGG